rnacentral:rRNA from 1 species
GAUGAACGCUAGCUACAGGCUUAACACAUGCAAGUCGAGGGGAAACGGCAUCGAAAGCUUGCUUUUGAUGGGCGUCGACCGGCGCACGGGUGAGUAACGCGUAUCCAACCUGCCCAUCACUUGGGAAUAACCUUGCGAAAGUAAGACUAAUGCCCAAUGACAUCCCACGAAGGCAUCCGAAUGGGAUUAAAGAUUUAUCGGUGAUGGAUGGGGAUGCGUCUGAUUAGCUUGUUGGCGGGGUGAAGGCCCACCAAGGCAACGAUCAGUAGGGGUUCUGAGAGGAAGGUCCCCCACAUUGGAACUGAGACACGGUCCAAACUCCUACGGGAGGCAGCAGUGAGGAAUAUUGGUCAAUGGGCGAGAGCCUGAACCAGCCAAGUAGCGUGCAGGAUGACGGCCCUAUGGGUUGUAAACUGCUUUUAUAAGGGAAUAAAGUGGGUCACGUGUGACUUUUUGCAUGUACCUUAUGAAUAAGGACCGGCUAAUUCCGUG